UGGGCAACCUGCCCUCAGCUCUGGGAUAACUCCAAGAAUUGGGCUAAUACCGGAUAUGACUGCUGACCGCAUGGUCUGGUGGUGGAAAGAUUUAUCGGCUGGGGAUGGGCCCGCGGCCUAUCAGCUUGUUGGUGGGGUAGUGGCCUACCAAGGCGACGACGGGUAGCCGGCCUGAGAGGGUGACCGGCCACACUGGGACUGAGACACGGCCCAGACUCCGUACGGGA
rnacentral:rRNA from 1 species